rnacentral:tRNA from 1 species
GGCGGAAUAGUUCAGUUGGUCAGAACAGCAGAAUCAUACUCUGAAGGUCGGGGGUUCAAAUCUCUCUUCCGCUA